rnacentral:lncRNA from 1 species
UUUGCAGCCCCAGCUCAAACACCAAGGAUUUCCUGCCACCAUAAAGCUGUAAUUGCUGAAUUAAUAACAGCAGGUUUUGAAGAGUGACUGCACAGACUCUCUGACCCAGCUCUAUGGCAGAGAUGGGAGCAGCAGCACCUGAACUCAGAUCCUUCUGUGCUUCACAAUUUGUGCACCCAUUCUGCAUUUCUCCAAGUGCAGAAAGUUGGCAACUUUUAUGGCUCUUCAUGUCCUGUAAAGUAAUAAAGUACAGCCAGGUGGAAAAUGUGACCAGAGAGGCAGAAUAUGUGGAAGCAGAGCGCAAGGUCUGCAGAGCAGAAGGGAUGGCAGCAGCCUUUCUGUCCCAGGGAUGUGAGGUCCUAGGUGAACCAGCUCACAAACCCCACUCGGGAUCAUCUUCUCUGGAGAAGAUAAGAAAGAAGCAAAAAAGGAUGGUGAGCAAGAAAAUAAGGUGGGUUUAGAAGGAAGGAAUCAUCCAUACCAGAAUGAACAUCAGGCUCUCUGGACUUUCAAAUCAUGAAAGAUAUUGAGAGUAUUAACAUGGAAUAAUUCUUCAUCCUUUCUUGCAGUACAUG